CGAAGAUACACGAAGACCUUACCUGGCCUUGACAUGGUAGGACCUUAAGAGAUUAGGGGGUGCUAGCUUGCUAGAACCUACACACAGGUGCUGCACGGCUGUCGUCAGCUCGUGUCGUGAGAUGUUGGGUUAAGUCCCGCAACGAGCGCAACCCUCGUCCUUAGUUGCUAACAGUUCGGCUGAGCACUCUAGGGAGACUGCCUUCGCAAGGAGGAGGAAGGUGAGGACGACGUCAAGUCAUCAUGGCCCUUACGGCCAGGGCUACACACGUGCUACAAUGGGGCGUACAGAGAGCUGCGAUACCGCGAGGUGGAGCCAAUCUCUUAAAGCGUCUCUCAGUUCGGAUUGUUCUCUGCAACUCGAGAACAUGAAGCUGGAAUCACUAGUAAUCGCAGAUCAGCUAUGCUGCGGUGAAUACGUUCCCGGGUCUU
rnacentral:rRNA from 1 species